rnacentral:misc_RNA from 1 species
UCCGAGUUGACCCCGGCAGUCUCCCACGAGUCCCCGGCAUUACCCGCUGGCAACAUAGGACAGGGGUUGCGCUCGUUGCGGGACUUAACCCAACAUCUCACGACACGAGCUGACGACAACCAUGCACCACCUGUGUAGCGCCCCGAAGGACACCGCAUCUCUGUGGCUUUUCGCUACAUGUCAAGCCUAGGUAAGGUUCUUCGCGUUGCAUCGAAUUAAUCCACAUAAUCCACCGCUUGUGCGGGUCCCCGUCAAUUCCUUUGAGUUUUAAUCUUGCGACCGUACUCCCCAGGCGGUCAACUUCACGCGUUAGCUUCGUUACCAAGGGAAUUAAUCCCCCGACAACCAGUUGACAUAGUUUAGGGCGUGGACUAC